AGAGUUUGAUCCUGGCUCAGAACGAACGCUGGCGGCAGGCCUAACACAUGCAAGUCGAACGAUAAGCCACCUUCGGGUGGUGGACAGUGGCAGACGGGUGAGUAACGCGUGGGAACGUGCCUUUCGGUUCGGAAUAACCCAGGGAAACUUGGGCUAAUACCGGAUACGCCCUUCGGGGGAAAGAUUCAUUGCCGAAAGAUCGGCCCGCGUCGGAUUAGCUAGUUGGUGGGGUAAUGGCCCACCAAGGCGACGAUCCGUAGCUGGUCUGAGAGGAUGACCAGCCACACUGGGACUGAGACACGGCCCAGACUCCUACGGGAGGCAGCAGUGGGGAAUAUUGGACAAUGGGCGCAAGCCUGAUCCAGCCAUGCCGCGUGGGUGAAGAAGGCCUUAGGGUUGUAAACCCCUUUCAGCGGGGAAGAUAAUGACGGUACCCGCAGAAGAAGCCGACCGGCCC
rnacentral:rRNA from 1 species